rnacentral:rRNA from 1 species
UUUCUAGUGUAGAGGUGAAAUUCGUAGAUAUUAGAAAGAAUACCAAUUGCGAAGGCAGCUUUCUGGAUCAUUACUGACACUGAGGAACGAAAGCAUGGGUAGCGAAGAGGAUUAGAUACCCUCGUAGUCCAUGCCGUAAACGAUGUGUGUUAGACGUUGGAAAUUUAUUUUCAGUGUCGCAGCGAAAGCGAUAAACACACCGCCUGGGGAGUACGACCGCAAGGUUAAAACUCAAAUGAAUUGACGGGGACCCGCACAAGUAGUGGAGCAUGUGGUUUAAUUCGAAGAUACGCGCAGAACCUUACCAACACUUGACAUGUUCGUCGCGACUCUAAGAGAUUAGAGUUUUCGGUUCGGCCGGACGAAACACAGGUGCUGCAUGGCUGUCGUCAGCUCGUGUCGUGAGAUGUUGGGUUAAGUCCCGCAACGAGCGCAACCCUCACUUUUAGUUGCCAUCAUUAAGUUGGGCACUCUGAAAGAACUGCCAGUGAUAAGCUGGAGGAAGGUGGGGAUGACGUCAAGUCCUCAUGGCCCUUACGUGUUGGGCUACACACGUGCUACAAUGGUAUCUACAACAGGAAGCAAGACUGCGAAGUUAAGCAAAUCCCUAAAAGAUACCUCAGUUCGGAUUGCACUCUGCAACUCGAGUGCAUGAAGCUGGAAUUACUAGUAAUCGUGGAUCAGCGUGCCACGGUGAAUGCGUUCCCGGGUCUUGUACACACCGCCCGUCACACCAUGGGAGUUGGUUCUACCUUAAGGCAAGGUUUCAAACCCUUGACCACGGUAUAGUCAGCGACUGGGGUGAAGUCGUAACAAGGUAGCCGUAGGGGAACCUGCGGCUG